AACAUGCAAUGCAGUUGAUUCAAUUGGUUUUGAGAAACUAUGGAUGAAUGGUAUUGUUCGGGUUUACAAUUUCAUCUUAUCCACUCUCAUAUAUGUACUCUUCUUAUUUACUUCACUUAUUUAUCCAAUUGCCAUGCAAACUUUCUAGUUUACCCUUAACCCAAUCCCUUGGUGAAAAGAGCCUAUUAUUAAUUACCGGCUUGCUAUCCCUAGCCUCCCCUAGUAACCAAUAAUGCAGUGUGAUCGAAAGCAAAUACAAUUGACCGUCCUACCCCUAUCCCUAGGCGAUAUUGGCAUAAUCAAUGAAUUUCCCA
rnacentral:lncRNA from 1 species